rnacentral:misc_RNA from 1 species
CGGCACAACACGUACAGCUUGAAGCCCAAAUCUCAAAAUACGAAAUGGAGAAAGAGACGACGAGGCACAGCAAGGAACAGACGCUGCAGGCGUCGUCGAGGUCGCCGACCACCGUGAACGACAUCCCCGACCGGCUGCUCAAGCUCAUCUUCCGCCGCCUGGACUCGCAUGUCGCCUACGUCCGCGCGGCAGCUGUGUGCACACGGUGGCGCAGCAUCGUCUCCACGCGCGGCAUCUUCAACCUGAGUUAUCACACCCACGAUUUUUCUACCACCAUCGGCCACUACCACGUCGUGGACCCGUCUUCCUCGCCGGGGCGGAGGAGGUGGUCCUCGCGGGAGCAGCAGCCCAGCUGCCGCGUGGUGUUCGUCCCUGCCGCGCCCUCCAUCGACGCUCGCCACUUCGCCCUGGACUUCCUGCCCAGUUGCCCUGCUGGCCGUGGCCGGCGCCAACGCUGGGAGGUCGUCGACGGCUGCGGCAGCCUCCUGCUCGUCGCCAACCAGCCGCGGCGCGGCAUGUUCCCAGACCUCGUAGCCUGCGAGCCCAUCUCCCGGCGCUACGUCAGGAUCCAGCCAGCUGAGGACAUGAAGCACCGCCGCUGUCUCGGCGUCUUCCUCGACGGCUACCGCAGCGUCACGAGCCUGUGCAACUUCAGUUUGACCUGCGUCCUGUCCGAGCCUUCCGCGGGGAUCGCAGACGGUGUCAGCGCUGUGACCGCCCGUGUCUACCGGCACCAACCGCCUGGGUGGAGCCGGUGGAAAUACGGCUGGAGCAUGCCUCGCCUCGCGACCUCCGGCAGCGUCCACCUCCGCGGCGCCGAGUGCGCGCGCUACGCGGGGCGCUCCAAGGGAUUCGUAUUCUGGGGAAUCAUCCAAGAUGACGGCACCGUCGUCGUCGCCGCACGGGAGGGCAGCUGCGUGCUGUCGAGCUUCCGUCUGCCAGACCACGUCCGAGGGGCAUCGUUGUCACACCACCAGUCGACGACCUUUCGGUUCGUCGACGACGGCGCCGACAACGAUGACUUGGUGCGGGUCGUCAGCCUUGUCGGCGAGGAUCUCAGGGUCUUUCUGAAGCGGGACCACAACGACAGCGGUGCUGGCAUCGAUUGGGUGCCUGUGCGGAGCCUGAACCUGCGUGAGGCGACUCGUGGACUUCCGUGGUUCAAGGAGUGCUUCUUCAGCCAGACAGCCAAGGUUGUCACGGCUGGCAAGGGAUAUAUUGUGCUGACCCCAGCGGAGGAGACAUGGCCGUUCUCUAUCGAGUUGGGAACCAUGGAGGCGGAGCGUGAGCACAUCCGGAAUAGGCUCGCCGGCGAGGUCUAUCCAUACCGACUGCACUUACGGCCAAGGGUGCGCGCUUGUGUGUUCAGCUGCAAGAGGGGCCGCUGGGGCCCGUGUUAUGACAUUUGCAGGUGCACAUAGGGUAGUCUCAUUCAUCAAUUAAGUCUAUAUCUAGUUAACAACACACAAGCAAGAUAUCACUUUUUGAAACUAUACUAUGAUGCAAAUGCAAGCAAUCAUAUGAAUUGCGCAACACAAAUGCAUCAACCAAGUGUUUGUUGGGCACUGACACGCGGCUGCGCUGUCAGGUGGACCCUAACACUCGAUUGACAGGUGGAAGCUGAGGUGCACGAUGAAACAAACUGCGGAGAAUUGUAGUUUCUCGUUAUGUGUGUCCUGUUCUGCUACAUGGAGGGGGGUAUUUAUAGGCCUGUUCGGGAGUAGGUGGUCCAAUGUACGCCCCUACCCCCGGCUACCAACUAUAUUUGAGGGAUAUCUCAUGUAACAGGGUAAUUACAAUGAUGUCCGUACAGUAAUCCGUAUACAC